CUACGGGGGGCACCAGUGAGGAAUAUUGCACAAUGGGGGGAACCCUGAUGCAGCAACGCCGCGUGGAGGAUGACGCAUUUCGGUGUGUAAACUCCUUUUAUAUGUCAAGAAAAUGACGGUAGCAUAUGAAUAAGCACCGGCUAACUCCGUGCCAGCAGCCGCGGUAAUACGGAGGGUGCAAGCGUUACUCGGAAUCACUGGGCGUAAAGGACGCGUAGGCGGGUUGGAAAGUCAGGUGUGAAAUCCUACAGCUUAACUGUAGAACUGCACUUGAAACUUCUAAUCUAGAGUAUGGGAGGGGGAGAUGGAAUUAGUGGUGUAGGGGUAAAAUCCGUAGAUAUCACUAGGAAUACCUAAAGCGAAGGCGAUCUCCUGGAACAUUACUGACGCUAAGGGACGAAACCCUGGGUAGCGAAUGGGAUUAGAUACCCGUGUAGUC
rnacentral:rRNA from 1 species